AAGAGCUUCAGCUGUGGGGAAGCACAUACAUUUGUAUAAUGUAAUUAUUUAGAUAAACAUUUCAUCAGUCAAUGUUUGAUUCUGUACUGAAGCGCAUCACUUCCUAAUGGUGUAAAUACAUCUCUGAAGAUUGAGGCAAUUUUCAGUCAAAUUCUGAUGUAUUUCAAAUCUUGGGAAUAGGUGGAAGAUGCAAGUGGUGAAAAGGGGAAAUUCCAAAAAAAUAAGGCAUGGAAGUCUGAAUGAGAAAGUCUUGUGUCUUUCAGCAAGGAGAAGCAUGAGAAGGAAAAAGCAUAUGAUUGUUCCAUUCCUUUGUGGAAUAAUUUGGUGUCUUUCAUACAGCUUCUGGAAUCAUUACUGCAGCCUGGCAAGCCUGGAAUGUUGGCUUUCAUAGCCAAUUCAAAGUCGUCAUCAUCAUCAUCAUCAUUAUCAUCAUCAUCCACCCACACCACUCUUCUGUUAUGAAAACAUGCAUUUUACCAUAUUGGAUCAUCUUCAUCAUCCAAGCUUGAGUAACCUGAUGAUUCACCUUUGACCUCCUUGAAAACUAGCAAAUCUUUUUUUCAUGUGCCAUUGUACUGAACUGCACUACUUGUACCAGA
rnacentral:lncRNA from 1 species